UACGGAGGGUGCAAGCGUUAAUCGGAAUUACUGGGCGUAAAGCGUGCGCAGGCGGCCUUAAAAGUCAGAUGUGAAAUCCCCGAGCUCAACUUGGGAACUGCGUUUGAAACUCUAAGGCUAGAAUAUGUCAGAGGGGGGUAGAAUUCCACGUGUAGCAGUGAAAUGCGUAGAGAUGUGGAGGAAUACCAAUGGCGAAGGCAGCCCCCUGGGAUAAUAUUGACGCUCAUGCACGAAAGCGUGGGGAGCGAAC
rnacentral:rRNA from 1 species